CUGAGUUCAAGGACAGGUAUCCCUGUGAAAGUGAAGAAAAGAGGAAUUAGGGAGAUGGAGACACAUGAGAGGUCAGCGUUGGAAUGACAUAGCCUGGGGAUGCCUGGAGCACAACAUGGUUUCAGAACGUUGGAGUCCAUAGCAGCAGGGAUUGCACGGCAACAGAUGUCAGGCCUGGCAGCAGAAGCAAGAUGCUUUGAGCUUACACCUUGAACCACAUCCACUAAGCAGAAAGACAAUUAGAAGUAUGUGAAAUUUC